rnacentral:pre_miRNA from 12 species
GCUAGGCACUUACAACUGUUUGCAGAGGAAACUGAGACUCUGUACCCGUGGCUCAGUUUUCUUUGCAAAGGAGUAAGUGCUUUGC